UGCUGACUUUUGAGCCGCAAGUGUGAGUGCCGAAAACCAUUUCGAUGAAACAGAGAACAGAAAGAGAUUCAUCAAGUGUGUCAAUGAACUUUGAACUUCUCUGUCUGCUUGGCUUCCUUCUUACCCUCACCAGCGAAGCAGCACCCACUUUCUAUAACCACUACUGCGGAAGCGGAAGCGGAAGCGGAAGCGGAAGAUCACCAAAUUUCACGUCCAAUCCCACUUACCAAUCCAAUAGCACUUACCAAACCAAUCUCAAUUCUCUCCUCGCUUCUCUGAUCUCCAACGCCACUAACAUCAAUGGAUUCUACAACACAACUACUGGUCAAUCCCCUCCUGAUGUGGUGUAUGGCCUCUUUCUCUGUCGCGGAGAUGUCAACACAAGUACUUGCCAGGAAUGUGUCGCUGCCGCUGCCGAAGACAUAGUUCACCGAUGCCCUUUAGAGAAAGAGGCCUACAUUUGGUACGAUAUGUGCUUGCUGCGUUACUCGAACCGUUCCUUCUUUUCUAGAGUGGAAAUAGUACCUGGGACCGGUAUACCUGAUCGAAUGAAUGUUACAGAGCCAGGCCGGUUCAAUCAGUUGUUGGCUGCAACGCUUAAUGAGUUAGCGAGUAGAGCUGCGAGUGAUUAUUCGGGUAAAAAGUUCGCUACGGAAGAGAAAGAGUUUACAAGUAAUCAGACGCUCUACACGCUGGUGCAGUGCACACCGGAUUUAUCUGAGGCUGGUUGUAGCGUAUGUCUUCAAAGCGCGAUUGGUUCCCUUCCACAGUGCUGUUCUGGCGUACAGGGUGGAACAGUAUUUGUUCCGACUUGUUUUCUUAGGUUUGAAAUGUACCCAUUUUACGGGAUCAACACCACAGAUCGAGAGCGUUCACCUCCAGCAACAAAUUCUAAAGGGAAAAGGAAGGUCUCAUCACAAUUGAUUAUUGCCAUUACUACUCCAGCUGUUGUUUCUUUGCUGUUAUUGGUCUUCGGAAUACAUUUCCUAAGAAGACGAAAAGCGAAGGAAAAAAAAAGUGCUGCAGAAGAAGAAAACGUUGCAGAAAUGAUCACAGACAUACAGUCUUUGCAAUUUGAUUUCAGCAUAAUUGAAGCUGCUACAAACAACUUUUCUGCUGAUAACAAGAUAGGAAGAGGUGGAUUCGGGGAUGUUUACAAGGGUAAGCUAUAUAAUGGACUAGAAAUAGCUGUGAAGAGGCUAUCUAGAAGCUCAGGGCAAGGUGCAGAAGAAUUUAAGAAUGAAGUUGUAUUGAUUGCCAAGCUUCAACACAGAAAUCUUGUAAGGAUGUUGGGAUUCUGCGUGCAAGGAGAAGAAAAGAUACUGAUAUACGAAUAUUUGCCCAACAAAAGUCUUGACAACAUUCUAUUUGAUCCUGAAGAACAAGGGCAGUUGUAUUGGUCGAGACGUUUCAAAAUCAUACUUGGAAUUGGAAGAGGAAUUCUUUAUCUUCAUGAGGAUUCUCGGCUACGAAUUAUACAUCGUGAUCUCAAAACAAGCAAUAUAUUGUUAGACAAAGAUAUGAAUGCAAAAAUAUCUGAUUUUGGAUUGGCAAGGAUUUUUGGUGCGGAUAAAACUCACGAAAUUACAAGAAGGAUUGCGGGGACAUUAGGGUAUAUGUCUCCGGAGUAUGCACUUCGUGGGCGGUUCUCUGUGAAGUCGGAUGUGUUCAGUUUUGGGGUCUUGAUUCUGGAAAUCAUUAGUGGCAAGAAAAACAGUAGUUUCUAUGAAUUGCACAGUGGUGAAAGCCUCAUGAGUUAUGCUUGGAGACACUGGAGCGAGGGGACACCCUUAGAAAUUUUGGAUCCAACAUUGGGAAAUUCCUAUUCGAAACCUGAAGUCACUAGAUGCAUAUGUAUUGCCUUAUCAUGUGUUCAGGACGAUCCAGCUGACAGACCAACAAUGGCAUUAGUAGUUCUCACGCUUAGCAGUUUACAAAUCACCAUACCGUCACCCCGGAGACCUUCAUAUUUCCUUGGUAGCAGCACAGACCUAAGGAGGGAGGUGUCUGAUCAAUCUGCAAGAAAUUCAAUGCCAUCUUCAGUUAAUGAAGUAUCAGUUACCGAAUCAUUGCAUCCACGCUAGGGCUAGUGCAGCUCAUUCUUCAAGGGAUAACAUCUAUAAAUUAGAAAGAAAAAAAUUUCCAUAGCCCCAAUUCUUUACCUUUCUGGUGUGACAUACAUCGGUAAGAUGGAGAAACAAGGGGGCAUGCUUUGGAAAUUAUCAAGUGAAGGAACGGGGAUGAAAACAUAUCUAAAUUAAGUUUCUUGCCGUGGAUGAUGUUUGAUGAGCUUGCAGUCCAAUAAGGAUUUGCUAGACACCCAAGUUCUUGAAAUUGAAUAGCUGCCACUCGUACUGAUCCACAACACUGUUUAGCUGUCACACUAGAGAAGACGAGUAGAUGAUCUCGAAGGCCUCAAAAGCAACUCCAUCCUACUGGAGGAAAUGUCUGAUAUGUUGUCUUUUUGGUCAGCAAAGACUUAUUGAUUCUACGAGUAGUGCCAAAAGGCUGUCACUGGAUUACAAGGUCUCGGUGAAUUACUCGAAGUCGUGAAUCUUGAUGAAGAACGAAAGGGUGAUAACUCUGGUUUUCCAAAGAUGGAUCUGUUUGAGAAGCGAACAAUACAUGAAGGAUAAUCUGGUCCCCAGGAAAUUCCCCCUGUAUAACUAGCACACUCUGCCAUGAUUGACUGAGUAGAGUUUUCAACACAUCUGUAACAUGAGUCUGGUGUGGAGUCUGCUAAGCAGAGUGCAAGAGACUACACUCUGUCGGAGUCUUCACCAAUUGUUUGAGUAGAGUAGAAGCCGGGAUUUGUCGAUGCAUUGGAAGCUAGAAAGGAGAGCAUAAGGUUGAGAUUUCUGCCGUAGGUGCUGGUGUUUGCGAUGACUCGUGCAUUGUCACAGUAAGUCCGUGCUCUGGUGAGACUGAUUUUUAUCAAGAUAAGAAAAACAAGACAAACCAAAUCUGUAAAGCCCAUUGAACCGGUGAUGAUUAAUUCGGCUUUGGCAUUGGAAACUGUCUUGUGUCAUUUAUGGUCAUAGUUGAUGUAGUUGGACGAGCUAUCGAGUGACGAUGGAAGUAAGUCUCUUGUUCCACAUCAAUCGAGCAAAAUGUAAAGUACAUAAGUUA